rnacentral:ncRNA from 2 species
GGGUUCAAUAGCUUCGCUAUUGGAGGUACACAUUGCGUGGUCGGGCCGCCAUGC